ACGCACGCUGGCGGCGUGCUUAACACAUGCAGGUCGAACGGAAAGGCCCUGCUUUUGUGGGGUGCUCGAGUGGCGAACGGGUGAGUAACACGUGAGUAACCUGCCCUUGACUUUGGGAUAACUUCAGGAAACUGGGGCUAAUACCGGAUAGGAGCUCCUGCUGCAUGGUGGGGGUUGGAAAGUUUCGGCGGUUGGGGAUGGACUCGCGGCUUAUCAGCUUGUUGGUGGGGCAGUGGCUUACCAAGGCUUUGACGGGUAGCCGGCCUGAGAGGGUGACCGGCCACAUUGGGACUGAGAUACGGCCCAGACUCCUACGGGAGGCAGCAGUGGGGAAUAUUGCACAAUGGGCGGAAGCCUGAUGCAGCAACGCCGCGUGCGGGAUGACGGCCUUCGGGUUGUAAACCGCUUUCGCCUGUGACGAAGCGUGAGUGACGGUAAUGGGUAAAGAAGCACCGGCUAACUACGUG
rnacentral:rRNA from 1 species